rnacentral:rRNA from 1 species
UACGUAGGGGGCAAGCGUUGUCCGGAAUCAUUGGGCGUAAAGAGCGUGUAGGCGGCUCGGUAAGUCCGCUGUGAAAGUCCAGGGCUCAACCCUGGAAUGCCGGUGGAAACUGUCGAGCUAGAGUCCGGAAGAGGCGAGUGGAAUUCCUGGUGUAGCGGUGAAAUGCGCAUAUAUCAGGAGGAACACCAAUGGCGAAGGCAGCUCGCUGGGACGGUACUGACGCUGAGACGCGAAAGCGUGGGGAGCAAACAGG